ensembl:lncRNA
ACCAGAAAAAGAAGAAAUUAGAACAAGCGGUGGAAGCUGAAUUAGUGAGGAUGACUCCUGCUCCUGUCAUCUCUAAGCUCCUCACACAUCUUUACCUGCACAUGAGGAAAAUCACUCCUGUAGAAUGCAGAUGUUCAGAGGGAGAUGAUGCCACAUCUGGUCCAGCUGAUGGAAGGUCUUGAAGUUCUCUGACUGACCUCGACUGAAGAUGGUCGUCUCACUGGAUUUAAGGUUCAGAUGCUCAGUAACAAACUCCACCAAUGUGCCAACAGGGAAGCUUUAGGUUUAUUAAAUGUUGCUAUGAAGGUAUUGCUGUUUUUCUUUGUGAAUGCAAUGUGCUCCAACUGAAACUUGAAUUAGAACUUAGAAGUAAAUCCUUCCAUCUGAAAGGAUUUAGUUGCAUUAAUAACCUCAAAACAUUCUAAUUUUUAUUCCAGUCUUAGUUGGAAAUAGAAUCUCUGUAUUGAUUCAGGUAAAGACUGAACUUCACAGCAUGUUGAAGCAAAACAACCAGAUGAAAACUGUGAUGGUGUUGGAUUGUCAGACCGUAAUGUUGCAGCUCAAAGCAGCUUUUCUAGCUCAGUUCAUUCUGACAUUCAGCUAUGAAUCAACACAGCAGAUGGUGAUCUAUGCUGUGGAAGUCUCACAUCUCCUGAUUUAAUGGAGCUGCUUUGCACUUUUUACACUGUUUAUUCACCAAGACUUUAUUUAAUAAAAGUCCCAUCUAGUUUUCAUGAGGAAUGUGAUGUUUUAAUUUCUCUGUGAAUAACUGCAGUCUAAUGCAACAGCUGGAGUUGUAACAUCUGUCCUGAUAUUGAUCAUGAAGUAUUGAUCAGAAUACUUAUGGUUAGCAGUCAUCCCUGAAGUUUUACAUUAAAAUCUUUACUUGUGUUGUGAACUUUGGUAAGAAGCAGAAACGUUAGCGUUGCCAUGGAUAUAUGAGUGUUAAAUUCUGUCCAUGUUUCCAUUUUGGGAAAUGCAGUCCAGUUCCAGAAUGUGGAGGAAUUUAGUCUCACAAUCACAGACAACAAAUAUUAUCUGAAAGUCAGGUUAUUGUUGUUUAUCAGCACAAUACAAAAAGAUUCAUGUUAGAAAUAUUCCAGUUAAGACUCUAGAAUAUCAUGAUUUAUGUACAUUUACCUCAAUAAUAUGAAUGUUUAGGUUAAGAUUGUGCGGUGAUAUUUAUUAUGUAAGUUUAGCUGAUUAACGUUUAUGACUCUGCACUAAAAUAUUAUUUAAAUUGACAUCAUUAUUAUAAUAUUUAGGGUCAGACCCUACAGUAUUGAGAUUAAGAAAUCAAAUAUUCUAUAAAAUGUACAUACACUGAACUCAUUUGGAUAUAUUUAAGUGAGACUCUACAAUAUUAUUUAACACAAAUCUAUCUAAAUCAAAAUUUUAAUAAUUUUCACGCCAAACAUUUACUGGACUGAUUUAAAUAUUAAAAUCACUCCUUUCUAAUCCUCUGCUGUACGUUCAAACCUGAGGCCUUAAAUAGAAACGCACAAGUAUCUGUUUGAAGGAACUUCUGCAGAGUCCUGGUUCCAGAACAUGAUAAUAGAAUUAUAGACAAACUUUAACAAAAGCUGCCUGAGAGUUUACAGGUUUUUAUGUUAGAUUUCUUCAGUAAUUUAAUGAGCGUUAUCAGCAAAUAUCAAGUGUUCAUUUGAUGAACUUCAUUUCCUCAAACAUCCAGAAUUGGAGCUUAUAUCUUUGGCAGCUGUAAAGUUUCUGCUCCUUCAAAGUUCACAACACAAUGAAUUAAUUCCUAAAACACACUCAAUGCUGGAGAGUGUUUGAUGCUGAAGCAGUGACCAGUUUUUCUGUUUCUUCUCUGGAGAUGCACAAUGAGGGACGUCUGCAGCGACGAAGAAAGAGUCUCACCACAUCCUGACAUGAGGAAAAAGACUUUAUUGAAGACUACAAUGAGAAAAACUAUCAGACAGCAGACGGCUGCAUUCAAGAGAGGAAGACCAUCAAACAUCCACGUCAGCUGAUGGAGGUCCAAGAGUCUCACCAAACAAACAACCUACAGAGUGAAGACCUUGAAUCUGAUUGGACGGCCUCCUAUUCAGCCACGUGUGAACAAAUGCCUCUAAGCUGAUUUGUUUUCUAAAAUAAAUCUAGUUUGAGUCCUAAUCUAUGCCUGUGUGUUUGCUUCUUUACACCACUGUUAACAGUUUAGGUUGUUAGAUUGUUCCAGAUAAG